rnacentral:rRNA from 1 species
CCUACGGGAGGCAGCAGUGAGGAAUAUUUGUCAAUGGACGAGAGUCUGAACCAGCCAAGUAGCGUGAAGGAUGACUGCCCUAUGGGUUAUAAACUUCUUUUAUAUGGGAAUAAAACGUUCCACGUGUGGGAUUUUGUAUGUACCAUAUGAAUAAGGAUCGGCGAACUCCGUUCCAGCAGCCGCGGUAAUACGGAGGAUCCGAGCGUUAUCCGGAUUUAUUGGGUUUAUAGGUAGCGUCGUUUGUUUGUUAAGUCAGUGGUCAAAUUGAGAGGCUCAACCUCUUCGAGCCGUUGAAACUGGUUGUCGUGAGUGAGUGAGAAGUAUGCGGAAUGCGUGGUGUAGCGGUGAAAUGCAUAGAUAUCACGCAGAACUCCGAUUGCGAAGGCAGCAUACCGGCGCUCAACUGACGCGCAUGCACGAAAGUGUGGGUAUCGAACAGGAUUAGAGACCCCGGUAGUC